rnacentral:rRNA from 1 species
UACGUAGGGGGCAAGCGUUGUCCGGAUUUAUUGGGCGUAAAGAGCGUGUAGGCGGCCAGAUAGGUCUGUUGUGAAAACUCGAGGCUCAAUCUCGAGACGCCGAUGGAAACCAUUUGGCUAGAGUCCGGAAGAGGAGAGUGGAAUUCCUGGUGUAGCGGUGAAAUGCGCAGAUAUCAGGAAGAACACCCGUGGCUAAGGCGGCUCUCUAGUACGGUACUGACGCUGAGACGCGAAGCGUGGGGAGCGAACAGG